UACGGAGGGUGCAAGCGUUGUCCGGAAUCACUGGGCGUAAAGGCGCGUAGGCGGCUCAUGAAGGCUGUGGUGAAAGUCCGGGCUCAACCUCGGAUCGGCCGUGGCGACUCGUGGGCUGGAGCACUGUAGAGGCGGGUGGAAUUCCUGGUGUAGCGGUGAAAUGCGCAGAUAUCAGGAGGAACACCGGUGGCGAAGGCGGGUCUCUGGGCCGAUACUGACGCUGAGGAGCGAAAGCAUGGGUAGCGAACAGG
rnacentral:rRNA from 1 species